GAGGGGACAGCCAGGAGGGCUCGGGCUCUGCUCCCAGGGAGCAGGGACAGGACAAGGGGAAAUGGCCUCAAGUUGUACCAGGUUUAGAUGUGAUACUGGGAGCAAUUUUUUGCCUUAAAAGGACUGUCCAGCCUUGGCACAGUUGCCCAGAGCAGUGGUGGAGUCCCCAUCCCUGGAGGGAUUUGAAAGGUUAUGGUGACUGGCAGAGGUUCCUGGAGGCUGGAAGAAAGAAAAUAUCACUCAUAUCUUCAAGGACAGAAAAGAAGAUCAGGGGAACUACAGGCCAGUCAACCUCACCUCAGUCCCUGGGAAGG